UACGUGAGGCGCAAGCGUUAUCCGGAAUUAUUGGGCGUAAGAGCUCGUAGGCGGUUUGUCGCGUCAUGCCGGUGAAACGUCCCGGGGCUCAACUCCGGAUGCCGGUGGAUACUGUCGGGCUCGAGUACGGGAAGAGGCGAGUGGAAUUCCUGGUGUAGCGGUGAAAUGCGCAGAUAUCAGGAGGAACACCUAUUGCGAAGGCAGCUCGCUGGGACGUUACUGACGCUGAGACGCGAAAGCGUGGGGAGCAAACAGG
rnacentral:rRNA from 1 species